rnacentral:lncRNA from 1 species
UAUACGUUUAAAUAUUUGUUGUGCAAGAUUUUUUAGGUGAAGUCGUGUGUUGAAACAUAUAUUAUUAUAUUUAGGAAUGGUCAUAUUGCCAGUUUAGCCAAUAAAAACACACGCACUAUAUAUUUGGUGUUAUUUUGCUUCAGUGAUAUUUAUUUCUUACAUUAAUCUUAAUCUUAUUUCGGCCAAAUUACAAGAAUGUAUAUAACCAGAAGAUACAAAUAUUACAGGCAUCUCCCCCACACACACACUAAAUAAACAUAGACGCACAUAGAGAUAUAAGCAUGCGCAAAUGAAGACAUACAAUAGAAAUACAAAAUGGCUGACGGUUAGUAAGGAGAGACACAAGUAAGUGAGAAGAAAACAAAGGACCACUGAUGCGGUCACAGGAGUGUGACGAAAGAACUUUGGCCGAAAUAAGAUUAAGAUUAAUGUAAGAAAUAAAUAUCACUGAAGCAAAAUAACACCAAAUAUAUAGUGCGUGUGUUUUUAUUGGCUAAACUGG